ensembl:lncRNA
GGGGAAUUGAAGACCAUGAUAUGACCAGCUUUGAAAGAGUGAUGGAGGCAGAAAGCCUGUCAGUGUAUUUAAGAGUGAGCUGAAAAUAGAGUCCACAGGCUCGCAGGUAGACAGUAGUGAUGUUGAGGAACUGGUGGAGGAACACUCAGAGGAACUGUCUACAGAGGAACUUCAGCAAGUUCUGGCUGAGCAAAGAAUUGCAGCUGAGGAGCUUUCUGCAGAGGAGGGGGAGUAUCAACAAUCAGUGCAGCAAAGUUCUUCUGAAAUAAAGGAAAUUCUGAAAAAAUGGACAGAGCUACACACAUUUGUAGGGAAGACCCACCCAGACAGAGAAAAAGCCAAUCAUUGAAUUCACUUGCUUAAUGACAAUGUCAUGUCAUACUACAGAACAGUGUUAAAGAAAAGACAGAAACAGACAAACUUAGACCAGUUUUCAGUUCCAAAAAGGUAUAGAUCUAGUGAGCUAGGAGCACGUCCUAGUGGGCUACAGACUCUCCCAGGGAGAAAAAAGGACACCAGAGAGCCAGAUUCCUAAUGUUCUUAUGGAAAGGGACUCUCUUUCCAAACAAUAAUCACUUGCCAUUUCAUUCUCUCUUCCUGCAAACCAAAGUUGUCAACUUGAAUGAGAUGAAGCAGAGUUGGAUAUAACCUUGGUGAGCUUACUAGGUGAUACUUAUCCUGGGAUGCUUAUAUAAUGGAACAGUGAUACUCUUAAAACUGGAGAACUGGAGUCAAGCAGCAACAGGAAGAUACAAGAAUGACACCUAUACACUUCUGAGACCAUGGAGAAAGAAAGAGGCAGCCACCAUCCUGGAGAAGCAGUAUCUUCAGUGGGCAGACACCUGGUAUACCAGGGUAAGGGUAAGGAACCUUCAGAAAGAAGGUUCUGUGCAGGAGGGUUGUGCUGCUGCUACAUUAUGAGUUCCAAAUUGUAGGGGGGUGGGAAGGUUUGGAGAAUUGGUAAAAGUGGAAAAUUGAAUCAGACAAUGGAUUUUCAGAGCAUAGUGGGGUGAAAAUAUAAAAGAUGACCCAGAGAGCUGGGACUUUUUAUAUAAAGUAAGGCA